rnacentral:rRNA from 1 species
AGGGUUUGAUCAUGGCUCAGGAUGAACGCUGGCGGCGUGCCUAACACAUGCAAGUCGAACGAAGCUCCUGCGACAGAAUCCUUCGGGAGGAAGAUGCUUGAGACUGAGUGGCGGACGGGUGAGUAACGCGUGGGUAACCUGCCCUGUACAGGGGGACAACAGUUGGAAACGACUGCUAAUACCGCAUAAGCUUACGGUACCGCAUGGUACAGUAAGAAAAACUCCGGUGGUACAGGAUGGGCCCGCGUCUGAUUAGCUGGUUGGCGGUGUAACGGACCACCAAGGCAACGAUCAGUAGCCGGCUUGAGAGAGUGAACGGCCACAUUGGGACUGAGACACGGCCCAA